rnacentral:rRNA from 1 species
UGUACACACCGCCCGUCGCUACUACCGAUUGAAUGGCUUAGUGAAUCCUUCGGAUUGGCUAUUUUUUUCUGGCAACAGAAUUAAACUGCUAAAAAGUUGGGCAAACUUGGUCAUUUAGAGGAAGUAAAAGUCGUAACAAGGUUUCCGUAGGUGAACCUGCGGAAGGAUCAUUAAAAAAUAAUCACAGUUUUGUGAUUUUAAUAAUCAUCCUACCCUUUGUGAAUUUGUUUUGUAAAGAAAUUUAUGUUGUCUAUCCCUUGGAUUAUUUGGAAAAGUUGAAAGACUUUUUCAUUUACCAAGGGAAUAGGCUUUCAUAGACAUUUUUUUAAAUUAAACAUUUGUAUUCAUUUGUCUAAAUUUAUUUUUAAUAAUUUAAAAACAACUUUUGACAAUGGAUCUCUUGGUUCUCGCAACGAUGAAGAACGCAGCAAAAUGCGAUAAGUAAUGUGAAUUGCAGAAUACGUGAAUCAUCAAAUCUUCGAACGCAUAUUGCACUUUUCUAGUUUACUAGAAAAGUAUGUCUGUUUGAGUAUCAGUAAAAUAUUCUCAUAAAAACUUUUUUGUUUUUAUGGUUAUGAGUGUUUUACAACGAUAAACAAGUUGUUUCACUUUAAAUUGAUUUUUAAAAGCCAAUUUUUGGUUUUAUCAAUAAAAUUGGAUAAAAUUUUCCCGUAAAAAGGAAUAAACUUUUCAGUUUUAAAGAUAAAACUUGAUUGUGCCUAAUAAAAGGAAAUUUAACAAAAUAACUUGAUCUCAAAUCAGAUAAGAGUACCCGCUGAACUUAAGCAUAUUAAUAAGCGGAGGA